rnacentral:rRNA from 1 species
AGUGAACGCUGGCGGUAGGCCUAACACAUGCAAGUCGAACGGCAGCACAGUAAGAGCUUGCUCUUACGGGUGGCGAGUGGCGGACGGGUGAGGAAUACAUCGGAAUCUACUUUUUCGUGGGGGAUAACGUAGGGAAACUUACGCUAAUACCGCAUACGACCUACGGGUGGAAGCAGGGGAUCUUCGGACCUUGCGCGAUUGAAUGAGCCGAUGUCGGAUUAGCUAGUUGGCGGGGUAAAGGCCCACCAAGGCGACGAUCCGUAGCUGGUCUGAGAGGAUGAUCGGCCACACUGGAACUGAGACACGGUCCAGACUCCUACGGGAGGCAGCAGUGGGGAAUAUUGGACAAUGGGCGCAAGCCUGAUCCAGCCAUACCGCGUGGGUGAAGAAGGCCUUCGGGUUGUAAAGCCCUUUUGUUGGGAAAGAAAAGCAGCAGGUUAAUACCCCGCUGUUCUGACGGUACCCAAAGAAUAAGCACCGGCUAACUUCGUG